rnacentral:rRNA from 1 species
UAGUCUGCAACUCGACUGCAUGAAGCUGGAAUCGCUAGUAAUCGCGAAUCAGAAUGUCGCGGUGAAUACGUUCCCGGGUCUUGUACACACCGCCCGUCACACCAUGGGAGUCGGAUAUGCCCGAAGUCAGUGACCCCAACCUUUUGGAGGGAGCUGCCGAAGGUGGAGCCGAUAACUGGGGUGAAGUCGUAACAAGGUAAC